AUGGGAGCUUGCUCCCAUUUCUCAGCGGCGGACGGGUGAGUAACACGUGGGCAACCUGCCCUACAGACUGGGAUAACUCCGGGAAACCGGAGCUAAUACCGGGUAAUACAUAGCAUCGCAUGAUGCAACGUUGAAAGUUGGCCUUUGGCUAACACUGUAGGAUGGGCCCGCGGCGCAUUAGCUAGUUGGUAAGGUAACGGCUUACCAAGGCCACGAUGCGUAGCCGACCUGAGAGGGUGAUCGGCCACACUGGGACUGAGACACGGCCCAGACUCCUACGGGAGGCAGCAGUAGGGAAUCUUCCGCAAUGGACGAAAGUCUGACGGAGCAACGCCGCGUGAGUGACGAAGGCCUUCGGGUCGUAAAGCUCUGUUGUUAGGGAAGAACAAGUACCGUUCGAAUAGGGCGGUACCUUGACGGUACCUAACCAGAAAGCCACGGCUAACUACGUGCCAGCAGCCGCGGUAAUACGUAGGUGGCAAGCGUUGUCCGGAAUUAUUGGGCGUAAAGCGCGCGCAGGCGGUCUCUUAAGUCUGAUGUGAAAGCCCACGGCUCAACCGUGGAGGGCCAUUGGAAACUGGGGGACUUGAGUGCAGAAGAGGAGAGUGGAAUUCCACGUGUAGCGGUGAAAUGCGUAGAUAUGUGGAGGAACACCAGUGGCGAAGGCGGCUCUCUGGUCUGUAACUGACGCUGAGGCGCGAAAGCGUGGGGAGCGAACAGGAUUAGAUACCCUGGUAGUCCACGCCGUAAACGAUGAGUGCUAGGUGUUUGGGGGGUUCCACCCUCAGUGCUGAAGUUAACACAUUAAGCACUCCGCCUGGGGAGUACGACCGCAAGGUUGAAACUCAAAGGAAUUGACGGGGGCCCGCACAAGCAGUGGAGCAUGUGGUUUAAUUCGAAGCAACGCGAAGAACCUUACCAGGUCUUGACAUCCUCUGCCACUCCUAGAGAUAGGACGUUCCCCUUCGGGGGACAGAGUGACAGGUGGUGCAUGGUUGUCGUCAGCUCCUGUCC
rnacentral:rRNA from 1 species